GGGUUGUGAGGUUAAGCGACUAAGCGUACACGGUGGAUGCCCUGGCAGUCAGAGGCGAUGAAGGGCGUGCUAAUCUGCGAUAAGCGCCGGUAAGGUGAUAUGAACCGUUAUAACCGGCGAUACCCGAAUGGGGAAACCCAGUGUGAUUCGUCACACUAUCAUUAACUGAAUCCAUAGGUUAAUGAGGCGAACCGGGGGAACUGAAACAUCUAAGUACCCCGAGGAAAAGAAAUCAACCGAGAUUCCCCCAGUAGCGGCGAGCGAACGGGGAGGAGCCCAGAGCCUGAAUCAGCAUGUGUGUUAGUGGAAGCGUCUGGAAAGGCGCGCGAUACAGGGUGACAGCCCCGUACACAAAAGCGCAUGUGCUGUGAGCUCGAUGAGUAGGGCGGGACACGUGGUAUCCUGUCUGAAUAUGGGGGGACCAUCCUCCAAGGCUAAAUACUCCUGACUGACCGAUAGUGAACCAGUACCGUGAGGGAAAGGCGAAAAGAACCCCGGCGAGGGGAGUGAAAAAGAACCUGAAACCGUGUACGUACAAGCAGUGGGAGCACACGUUUACCUGUGUGACUGCGUACCUUUUGUAUAAUGGGUCAGCGACUUAUAUUCUGUAGCAAGGUUAACCGAAUAGGGGAGCCGGAGGGAAACCGAGUCUUAAUUGGGCGUUAAGUUGCAGGGUAUAGACCCGAAACCCGGUGAUCUAGCCAUGGGCAGGUUGAAGGUUGGGUAACACUAACUGGAGGACCGAACCGACUAAUGUUGAAAAAUUAGCGGAUGACCUGUGGCUGGGGGUGAAAGGCCAAUCAAACCGGGAGAUAGCUGGUUCUCCCCGAAAGCUAUUUAGGUAGCGCCUCGUGAAUUCAUCUCCGGGGGUAGAGCACUGUUUCGGCUAGGGGGCCAUCCCGGCUUACCAACCCGAUGCAAACUGCGAAUACCGGAGAAUGUUAUCACGGGAGACACACGGCGGGUGCUAACGUCCGUCGUGAAGAGGGAAACAACCCAGACCGCCAGCUAAGGUCCCAAAGUCAUGGUUAAGUGGGAAACGAUGUGGGAAGGCCCAGACAGCCAGGAUGUUGGCUUAGAAGCAGCCAUCAUUUAAAGAAAGCGUAAUAGCUCACUGGUCGAGUCGGCCUGCGCGGAAGAUGUAACGGGGCUAAACCAUGCACCGAAGCUGCGGCAGCGACACUGUGUGUUGUUGGGUAGGGGAGCGUUCUGUAAGCCUGUGAAGGUGUGUCGUGAGGCAUGCUGGAGGUAUCAGAAGUGCGAAUGCUGACAUAAGUAACGAUAAAGCGGGUGAAAAGCCCGCUCGCCGGAAGACCAAGGGUUCCUGUCCAACGUUAAUCGGGGCAGGGUGAGUCGACCCCUAAGGCGAGGCCGAAAGGCGUAGUCGAUGGGAAACGGGUUAAUAUUCCCGUACUUGGUGUUACUGCGAAGGGGGGACGGAGAAGGCUAUGUUGGCCGGGCGACGGUUGUCCCGGUUUAAGCGUGUAGGUGUGUGUUCCAGGUAAAUCCGGUUCACUUUAACACUGAGGCGUGACGACGAGGCACUACGGUGCUGAAGCAACAAAUGCCCUGCUUCCAGGAAAAGCCUCUAAGCAUCAGGUAACAUCAAAUCGUACCCCAAACCGACACAGGUGGUCAGGUAGAGAAUACCAAGGCGCUUGAGAGAACUCGGGUGAAGGAACUAGGCAAAAUGGUGCCGUAACUUCGGGAGAAGGCACGCUGACACGUAGGUGAAGUGAUUUACUCAUGGAGCUGAAGUCAGUCGAAGAUACCAGCUGGCUGCAACUGUUUAUUAAAAACACAGCACUGUGCAAACACGAAAGUGGACGUAUACGGUGUGACGCCUGCCCGGUGCCGGAAGGUUAAUUGAUGGGGUCAGCGCAAGCGAAGCUCCUGAUCGAAGCCCCGGUAAACGGCGGCCGUAACUAUAACGGUCCUAAGGUAGCGAAAUUCCUUGUCGGGUAAGUUCCGACCUGCACGAAUGGCGUAAUGAUGGCCAGGCUGUCUCCACCCGAGACUCAGUGAAAUUGAACUCGCUGUGAAGAUGCAGUGUACCCGCGGCAAGACGGAAAGACCCCGUGAACCUUUACUAUAGCUUGACACUGAACAUUGAGCCUUGAUGUGUAGGAUAGGUGGGAGGCUUUGAAGUGUGGACGCCAGUCUGCAUGGAGCCGACCUUGAAAUACCACCCUUUAAUGUUUGAUGUUCUAACGUGGACCCGUUACCCGGGUUGCGGACAGUGUCUGGUGGGUAGUUUGACUGGGGCGGUCUCCUCCUAAAGAGUAACGGAGGAGCACGAAGGUUGGCUAAUCCUGGUCGGACAUCAGGAGGUUAGUGCAAUGGCAUAAGCCAGCUUGACUGCGAGCGUGACGGCGCGAGCAGGUGCGAAAGCAGGUCAUAGUGAUCCGGUGGUUCUGAAUGGAAGGGCCAUCGCUCAACGGAUAAAAGGUACUCCGGGGAUAACAGGCUGAUACCGCCCAAGAGUUCAUAUCGACGGCGGUGUUUGGCACCUCGAUGUCGGCUCAUCACAUCCUGGGGCUGAAGUAGGUCCCAAGGGUAUGGCUGUUCGCCAUUUAAAGUGGUACGCGAGCUGGGUUUAGAACGUCGUGAGACAGUUCGGUCCCUAUCUGCCGUGGGCGCUGGAGAACUGAGGGGGGCUGCUCCUAGUACGAGAGGACCGGAGUGGACGCAUCACUGGUGUUCGGGUUGUCAUGCCAAUGGCACUGCCCGGUAGCUAAAUGCGGAAGAGAUAAGUGCUGAAAGCAUCUAAGCACGAAACUUGCCCCGAGAUGAGUUCUCCCUGAGACUUAGAGUCUCCUGAAGGAACGUUGAAGACGACGACGUUGAUAGGCCGGGUGUGUAAGCGCAGCGAUGCGUUGAGCUAACCGGUACUAAUGAACCGUGAGGCUUAACCUUACAACGCCGAAG
rnacentral:rRNA from 2 species